GACGGUACUUGAGGAAUAAGCCACGGCUAAUUCCGUGCCAGCAGCCGCGGUAAUACGGGAGUGGCAAGCGUUAUCCGGAAUUAUUGGGCGUAAAGCGUCCGCAGGCGGCCUCGAAAGUCUGUCGUUAAAGCGUGGAGCUUAACUCCAUUUAAGCGGUGGAAACUACGAGGCUAGAGUGUGGUAGGGGCAGAGGGAAUUCCCGGUGUAGCGGUGAAAUGCGUAGAUAUCGGGAAGAACACCAGUGGCGAAGGCGCUCUGCUGGGCCAUAACUGACGCUCAUGGACGAAAGCCAGGGGAGCGAAAGGGAUUAGAUACCCCUGUAGUCCUGGCCGUAAACGAUGAACACUAGGUGUCGGGGGAAUCGACCCCCUCGGUGUCGUAGCUAACGCGUUAAGUGUUCCGCCUGGGGAGUACGCACGCAAGUGUGAAACUCAAAGGAAUUGACGGGGGCCCGCACAAGCGGUGGAGUAUGUGGUUUAAUUCGAUGCAACGCGAAGAACCUUACCAGGGCUUGACAUCCUGCGAAUCCCUUGGAAACUUGGGAGUGCCUUCGGGAGCGCAGAGACAGGUGGUGCAUGGCUGUCGUCAGCUCGUGUCGUGAGAUGUUGGGUUAAGUCCCGCAACGAGCGCAACCCACGUCUUUAGUUGCCAGCAUUAAGUUGGGCACUCUAGAGAGACCGCCGGUGAUAAACCGGAGGAAGGUGUGGAUGACGUCAAGUCAUCAUGCCCCUUACGUCCUGGGCUACACACGUACUACAAUGCUACGGACAAAGGGCAGCAAACUCGCGAGAGCUAGCAAAUCCCAUAAACCGUGGCUCAGUUCAGGUCGUAGGCUGCAACUCGCCUACGUGAAGGAGGAAUCGCUAGUAAUCGCAGGUCAGCAUACUGCGGUGAAUACGUUCCCGGGCCUUGUACACACCGCCCGUCACACCAUGGAAGUUGGCCACGCCCGAAGUCGUUACUCCAACCCGCAAGGGAGGAGGAUGC
rnacentral:rRNA from 1 species